rnacentral:rRNA from 1 species
ACUCCUACGGGAGGCAUCAGUGGGGAAUUUUCCGCAAUGGGCGAAAGCCUGACGGAGCAAUACCGCGUGAGGGAUGAAAGCCUGUGGGUUGUAAACCUCUUUUCUCAAGGAAGAAGUUCUGACGGUACUUGAGGAAUAAGCAUCGGCUAACUCUGUGCCAGCAGCCGCGGUAAUAC